rnacentral:rRNA from 1 species
AUUGAACGCUGGCGGCAGGCUUAACACAUGCAAGUCGAGCGGGGUGAUGGUGCUUGCACUAUCACUUAGCGGCGGACGGGUGAGUAAUGCUUAGGAAUCUGCCUAUUAGUGGGGGACAACAUCUCGAAAGGGAUGCUAAUACCGCAUACGUCCUACGGGAGAAAGCAGGGGAUCACUUGUGACCUUGCGCUAAUAGGUGAGCCUAAGUCGGAUUAGCUAGUUGGUGGGGUAAAGGCCUACCAAGGCGACGAUCUGUAGCGGGUCUGAGAGGAUGAUCCGCCACACUGGGACUGAGACACGGCCCAGACUCCUACGGGAGGCAGCAGUGGGGAAUAUUGGACAAUGGGGGAACCCUGAUCCAGCCAUGCCGCGUGUGUGAAGAAGGCCUUAUGGUUGUAAAGCACUUUAAGCGAGGAGGAGGCUCUUUUGGUUAAUACCCAAGAUGAGUGGACGUUACUCGCAGAAUAAGCACCGGCUAACUCUGUGCCAGCCGCCGCAGUAACAC